GUGCCGCCCUCGGGCGCGCGCAGGCCGGGCGCCGCGGCUGCGGGGCUCGCCCGCGAGUUCCGGACGGGCGUUCCGGGCACCCUGUCUUCCGCGCUCGCCGGAGACUGCGAGACGCGCGCUCGCGGGCGUUGGGUCUUAGCGGGCAUCGCCGCCGCAUUUUGUCUAUGGGCGAGUUAUAGGAGCUCAGUAAGCGUUUGUAGAAGAGAUGCAAAGUGUCCCACCAAGUGCCAGGAGCACUCUCCCCUUGCUGCUCUGAAAACGCUGGACAUGGUACAUGAACAGGAAGCAGACUUAAUCCAGGACGAUGCGGAGGAAAAAAGUUAAUAAUUCACUCAUGAAAUUUUACUUUCAAAUGAAAUACAUUCAUCACACUAUCCUAAGAAAAGACUCUGAUCAAACUUCCAUUUGAAUGACUAUAUGAGGACUUAACAACAGCACUGAAAUGAAAUGAGUGAAAAUGCUGAAUUAGCGGAGACACAAAACACUACUCUGUUUGUGGA
ensembl:lncRNA